rnacentral:rRNA from 1 species
ACGGAAGGCAGCAGUGGGGAAUAUUGCACAAUGGGGGAAACCCUGAUGCAGCGACGCCGCGUGAAGGAAGAAGUAUUUCGGUAUGUAAACUUCUAUCAGCAGGGAAGAAAAUGACGGUACCUGAGUAAGAAGCACCGGCUAAAUACGUGCCAGCAGCCGCGGUAAUACGUAUGGUGCAAGCGUUAUCCGGAUUUACUGGGUGUAAAGGGAGCGUAGACGGAUAGGCAAGUCUGGAGUGAAAACCCAGGGCUCAACCCUGGGACUGCUUUGGAAACUGCAGAUCUGGAGUGCCGGAGAGGUAAGCGGAAUUCCUAGUGUAGCGGUGAAAUGCGUAGAUAUUAGGAGGAACACCAGUGGCGAAGGCGGCUUACUGGACGGUGACUGACGUUGAGGCUCGAAAGCGUGGGGAGCAAACAGGAUUAGAUACCCUGGUA